rnacentral:lncRNA from 1 species
UAAACAUGAAUAUAUAUGUCAGCAGUUGCUGUACUAUUGUUAAAGAGGACAAGAUUUUUUUUAUGUCUUCUCUCUGCCCUCUAGCAACUAAUCAUUUCACAUUUAAACCCCCAGCACAUUUUAAAACAUGCAGAAAAUCUCCUUUGUGAGUUGCAGAGUGACUUUCAGGAAUGCUCUCUGCCUGUGGUACAGUUUAGACAAAACCAUUAUCCCCCCAAACCGUUCGGUAAUGACAGAACACAUGCCGUGUAAUGUAAACUCACAGCCCGGUGCUGGGCAGGCAUGAUUAGGCUGUCAUCUUCCCCAACAGCAGCCACAGGAGGAGAAUACAAAAGUAAAAUUAUCUUAUUUAUUACAGGCCUUUUGUAGGGGAUCUGGCACUCUUAUGCAAUUGACAUUUUUGUUUGUGUUGCUGAACCAUAAGUUGAGAACUAAUUUAAAUUAGUUAAUUCACAGUCUACAAAAAUACUGUUAAUAAAAUGAAGUCACCUUUAUGUUCACUACUUCAGUGUAUUUUGCCAAAAAUAUGAAUCAUUAAUUUUAAAUUUUGAUUAUGGUUUUAUAUAUUGUUUGCAAAAUUAAAAUUAGAAUAUGUCUGAAUCUAAAAGGAAGCUGACACUUCAGAAUAUUUACUUGUUCUCUACAGUUAAUCUUUGUAUAUUUUAUCUGAACAUACACUAAUUCUAUGUAAUCAUACAUAAACAUGAACAAAUAUGUAUACAUGUCAAACAUGUAUUUUUGCACAUGGUGGUUUUUGGCUUUUCAUAUAUCUUAGAGGAAAUUUUAAUAUCCAGUGAGAAAUCAAAAUCACCAAGUUCUUGAAAGUUUCCUGGCUUUAAAUGUUAUUUGAAUUAAAAAUAAUUCUAUCUCUAUGCCUUCCUUCCUGGAUGUGAUCAUUAAAGAAGAUAUAUGUAUCCAGACAGUGUGGGAACAUGGGACAAACUGAAAUGACAGAGGGCUUCCUGUCAUUCCUAAGAGAACCAGAAGAGUGGUCACAACAUUUCAAGGAUACAAAAAUCGGACUUGUUCUUUGGCUUGCUCAAAGCCAUUACUCCAAAUCUCCUGAUUUAAUUAUGGGAUGCUACGAAGGAGUGACAGGGAAAAUUUUUGAAGAACUGCAGCCUUCAUACAGAAAGCCCAGACAUCUCUGCCCAUCUGACAGACAGAGGAAGGCACUCCCCAGCUCCUUCAGCUCUUAGUCUUCCUGUUUCAUACUGUCAAAGAGAUGCUGUCUCCUGUCAGAGUGCUGGCUCUCCAGGAGAUGCUCAGAUUAGAAACUGUCCAGAAAGAUUUAACAUGUUUUCUGCCAUUGGACAAUGGGGGCUGGGAUGUGAGUAUUUUACUUCACUGCAUGCAAUUGGCAUCUUGAAGCAUUAGUUUGUCAAAAUAUUGACAGGUCCUGGAUGUUGGCAUUGUGGGUUCAUUUUCUUCCCAAAUGGUUAAUUCAUGAAAUUAACCUUCUCUGAAUGUCUGCUUGCAUUUUGAAGGGUUAUCAGGUACAGAUGAGUGGAGUAAACAAAUAAUUUCAUUAUGUCUAACAUACUUUCUUCUCAUCUCUCAUUUUUUUCCUUUUAGAUAGACUUUGGUAGCCUUGGCUUUCUAUUAGGAAUACUGUAUUUGAGACCUGAUGAGAUUGUAAUAAAUUCUCUUAUUUCUCUUGCAUAUUCUGGGAAGUGUCUUUAGCUAAAACAUUUUUUUUUCUGGAAGAUGCAUAAAAGGAUAUUGAUAAGAAAUGUUUGUACCAAUACAGAUUUUAUACAUCAAAAAACAUGUAAGAUUUUUUUGUGGGGUGCAUUUCUAUAUCCAGGUUUUAUCUGUGUUCCAGAAAAUAAACGGCUGCAAGUUCCCUGAGCCCCAGCAAUGUCAUGCCAACUUUUCAAAAUAAAGGGCAAUAUGAAAAGAGGGAUUACUAAGGAAAUAUUCUGUAGGUUUUGGAUUGAUGAUUUGAUUGAUUAUAUAGCAAAAAAUCUUAGAAGCCUUAGGACCAAGCAAUGUGGAGUUUCAUUAGUUUUUUUUUUUUUUUUUUUAAUCUGUUUUUGUCUCUGGUGGUCUGUGAAAUCUCCUCUGAUGACUUUCUCACUCAGUGACUAUACCUAUUAGGAUAAUUUCUUCCAAUUCAUAAUUAUAGAAAUUGCUUUGUCUGUGAUUGUUUGAAAUCUUUGCAAAGAACAGAAAAAAUAAGGGCAUGAAAACAGUCUUUUGGAAUCAAGAGCCAUCAGUUACUAUUUUCUUCUGAGUCUCAAUCUAUCUCUCCCCCCUCCCCCGCACAAUUACUUAGUAAUUAAAAAGAUUAAAACAAAACAAAACAAAACAAAACAGCUAAGUAUCUGAAAGUCCUAUUCCUCUCCUAUGUUGGCGAAUGAGUCAAGUUGGGAAGGAAGAGCUAAGAAAUAUGACAAGUAAGUUGAGAAAACUCAACGAUUUUUUGCUAUCUCCCCAUUAUCAAAUGAAAAGGAUAUUAUUUUGUUUUCAAGAGAGAUGCAUCCUCAUGUAGAGCAGGCCUUCUUUGAACAUCUAUGUAGCCCAGGGAAGAUUACCUUAAAUUCUUGACUCUUCUGUUCCUUCUUAUCAAAUGUUUGAUUAAACAUGUGUGAUAUUAUGCCUGCCAAAAAAGAACAUUUCCUAUCUCAAAAUUAGCAUGAUUAAGAGGGACAUCCACGUGGAGACAGGGGGUGGGGAGGAGGUAUGGGAUGUGGAACAGUCAGAAGGUGGAUCAGGUGGAGGAAUAAAAUAUAGAGUACAAAAAAAAUUUUAAAUAAAAUAAUG